CCUAGUCUUAGCUCCAUCUACAUGUCCUUGAUUACUCUGAUGUAGGCUUCCGGCACGCUCUUCGCCUCCAAGCACCUCCAUAGCACCUCCCUUGGGAUCUUGUCAUACGCCUUCUCCAAGUCGAUAAGCACCAUGUGUGGGUCCUUCUUCUUAUCCCUGAACUACUCCACCAACCUCCUGACAAGGUGGAUCGCUUUUGUAGUGGAGGGACCCGGCAUGAACCGAACUGGUUCACAGAUAUAGAAGUCAUCUCCCUCACCCUCGCCUCGAUCACCCGCUCCCAUACCUUCAUGGUGUG
rnacentral:lncRNA from 1 species